GAUGAACGCUGGCGGCGUGCCUAAUACAUGCAAGUCGAGCGAAUGGAUUAAGAGCUUGCUCUUAUGAAGUUAGCGGCGGACGGGUGAGUAACACGUGGGUAACCUGCCCAUAAGACUGGGAUAACUCAGGGAAACCGGGGCUAAUACCGGAUAACAUUUUGAACCGCAUGGUUCGAAAUUGAAUGGCGGAUUCGGCUGUCACUUAUGGAUGGACCCGCGUCGCAUUAGCUAGUUGGUGAGGUAACGGCUCAACAAGGCAACGAUGCGUAGCCGACCUGAGAGGGUGAUCGGCCACACUGGGACUGAGACACGGCCCAGACUCCUACGGGAGGCAGCAGUAGGGAAUCUUCCGCAAUGGACGAAAGUCUGACGGAGCAACGCCGCGUGAGUGAUGAAGGCUUUCGGGUCGUAAAACUCUGUUGUUAGGGAAGAACAAGUGCUAGUUGAAUAAGCUGGCACCUUGACGGUACCUAACCAGAAAGCCACGGCUAACUACGUGCCAGCCGCCGCCGUAA
rnacentral:rRNA from 1 species